rnacentral:rRNA from 1 species
CCUACGGGUGGCAGCAGUGGGGAAUAUUGGACAAUGGGCGAAAGCCUGAUCCAGCCAUGCCGCGUGUGUGAAGAAGGCCUUCGGGUUGUAAAGCACUUUCAGUGGGGAAGAAAGCCUUGGGGCUAAUACCCUCGAGGAAGGACAUCACCCACAGAAGAAGCACCGGCUAACUCCGUGCCAGCAGCCGCGGUAAUACGGAGGGUGCGAGCGUUAAUCGGAAUUACUGGGCGUAAAGCGCGCGUAGGCGGUCUGAUAAGCCGGUUGUGAAAGCCCCGGGCUCAACCUGGGAACGGCAUCCGGAACUGUCAGGCUAGAGUGCAGGAGAGGAAGGUAGAAUUCCCGGUGUAGCGGUGAAAUGCGUAGAGAUCGGGAGGAAUACCAGUGGCGAAGGCGGCCUUCUGGACUGACACUGACACUGAGGUGCGAAAGCGUGGGUAGCAAACAGGAUUAGAUACCCUGGUAGUC